CUUUUUCGUUUUUUGUGCUACUGGACUUAUGAAAAGAAAAAUAUUACUCUGAAGCUCAGCAAGGGAGAAGAAGCCGAGUGCUUCCUCUGCUGACCCAGGAGGUGUGUGCACAAAUACUUUGAAAACUUGCGGACCUACAGUCAACAGAUACCAAACCGAGGUACACACUAUUGCUCAUUUUAUGUGUGUGCACUGUAACAUGUACCGCUGUUUAAAGCUUAGAUUAAGAUUUCUGGAUUCCGAAUAAGGUUUUUACCUUACCUUUUACUUAUACUAACACAUGGUAAGUAUAAAUUGCAAUGCAAAGUAUUCUUUUUGGAGAUCUUGC
rnacentral:lncRNA from 1 species